AGAGCGCCCCCUUACGGCGGACUUAAAACUGCCGACUGAAUGAUUAUGAAAACACUCCCGCCAAUGUACCGAAGCUCGCACCGUUGGAACAGUGUUUUUUUCUAACCUUUUUACUCGUCAAACCACGUCACGCCAUUCACGCGCGAGGGAGCAGUGAGUCGCCACACGGGUGGGCGGCGGAGGUGGAGGUACUGUUGGCUACGACGGAGGCAGCAACAUCUUAACCUUCCGAAACGCAGUUUGUUCCAGGACGCGCUCGCUGCUGCUGCUUUUUCGGGGUUGUUAGUCAGGCGUGAUGUGUUGUGAUUUUCGUGCGUGGACGCUCUGCGGUGACAACUGACAGGAUAGUGCUGCAACACACCCGCUGGCCACACUGGAGGUAGCGCCAGUGGAAAUGUCAGCGAGCCUACGCAGCUGCCAUCUGGGUACACAAUGCAUUUUGUCAGCUCAAGCCCAAAGGACAAGAUCCGUCUUUGUUGGAUGAACAAGCUCAACGGAGUGUUUUUUCUUCAAACCAUCACCUCCAACUCUUUCACUGGUAUAUUGGGAACUAUUCAGCCAUCUUCUCCUCCCCCCUGACUUCUCUGAUGGACCAGAGAAUGAAGGGGGGCACCCCUCUAAUGACAGACUCCACUCUGGAUGCCUCCCCAGCACCUGAGGAUUUUGAGCAGGACCAAGAGAAAAGAAAGCAUCUCGAGACGGAGGAUUCGGACGUGGGGAAGAAGGAAGACAGACGAGGGAAGAAGAGGGAAGGGGACAAGGGGGCGGUGCUGGAGUUGCUCAUUGAGGGGCGCUGUGGGGGUACUGGGCAGCAACAGCUUCAGAUAUGUAGCAGGGAGACCAGCUGCCCUGACGGGAAUGUGCGACUCCGCAUCGGAGUGCAAGCCAAGCGCACCAAGAAGCCGCCCAAGAUUUUGGAAAGCUACGUUUGCAAACCCACCAUCAGAACCUAUCAGAGGCAGCAGGGCCGAGGGGGGGCGCUGCCAACCAGAACUGCCACCAACCCUGACGACGGGACCAGAGAGAACCGCUCAGGCUCGAAUGGCGUCCAAACCACAUGCAAACAAACGGCAUCUGCCACUUUGCCGUCAUUAUCAACACCACCAUCAUCAUCAGUGGCGCAAUCUUCAACACCAGAAAAUGCUAUCGUUUCCACAAUAGCCUCAGCCAUCGCCAACCCAGGGACCAAGUCUGCCAAACAGGUUCCUCUCAAACUGGAUGGUAACGCAGAGGUGACGUCCGCUGGUUCAUCGGAGAGAGGGAAGAAAGAGAAGACUCUAGGUGUCCAUGAGCAGCCGCUCCCUGCAGUUCUGAAACCGUGCUCACCCACCGCCCAUCAGGAAGCAUCAGCUACCCCCUUGAGGCUGUGCACCGAAACGCUGCCUGAAAGGGAAAUCAACAAGAAACACAAUGGUGUGGUGCAGACCAAGAAACAGAAGGGACUUUCGAACGGGAAAUGCUCUGAAGACAAACUUGGAGAUACACAAUCAAUCAAAACUGCAAAACACAGCAGCUCUGUUCCUUCUGUGGACGCCAUACCUCCAAGUUCUUCUAAAACAGAGCUUUGCGUGGCGCAAAAGAGUAACUCCUCCUCUGUUACCGCUAAAUCAAAAUCCUCCCCUACUCUGGAUAUGUCUCCUGCACAAGUUCAGGAAGCUUCAUUGAAGCGCUUAAAUGACAAAAAGAGAGAUAAAGAGCGGAAGGUAAAGAAGGAGAAACGAAAAGAGAGAAAGGCAAAGGGAGAGGGACUGGAAACAGAGAGAGUAAAGAGUGAUAAGAAAAAAGAAGAAUUCAUAAAGAAGAAAAAAGACAAAGGAAAGGAUGGCAAAUUGCGACAGGGUAAAGACCAUAAAAGUAGUGAUGAACUGAAGACUGGAAAAAAGACUGAGAAAAACAAGAUCAACACAGAGAAACACAGAAAAGAAGACACUAACUUGGGCGGCAUGAGUAAAUUAGAUAAACCAUAUAAAGUAGCAGACCAAGGGAGAUCUGAAGAGGGGAGCAUGAGAGAUCAUAUCAAACAAGCUGAGCUCCAAGCAACGUCUGCUGACAGCAUUAAGUCAAAAGAGAAUGAAAUUGUCAGGUAUUCAACAGUGCUGCCAAAACAUCCAGCGUCAUAUUCUACCCUGCCCCCUCUUUCUCCACCAUCCUCCAACCAAGAGCAGGACAGCAGGCCGCUUAAGAAACGUAAAGCUCGAAGGCCCAGCUGGACAAAGCUGGUGCACCGGACUCAGAGGAUGGAAAAUCAGGAAGCAGAUUCUCAACAGAGUUUCUCUCAAAAGUUGUCUAUUCACUCACCUCCCUCUUGCUCCCCGUCCUCCUCCACAACAAAACCAUCAUCUCCGAAACCGAACCCCACCAUAUCAGAUCUGAAACCGUCUGCUUCCACAAGCCCUUCCACUCCAGGCCGAAAAAGGGGCCGUCCCAAAUCACAUACCAUAAUCUUUAAUGAACCUCUUCUGAGACUUUCCCCCGAGGAGGUUGCCUUUCUGGAGUGUGACGACGUUCAGAAAAGCCCUGUGCUGGACUCGAGCCCGAAGAAGCGCGGCCGUCCUCGCAAACAACCACUGAAUCAAACAGACAUCACAGAUAAGAACAGAAAUCCUCCUCCUCCUCCUGAAAAGGGAAACAGGCAGCUAAAAAUCAGGAGGCUGAUUAAUGAGAUGAAGAAAAGGAAGAAGAAGAGACUUCACAAGGUAAUGACGUCUGGCAAUGUAGGAAAGGAGAGCAAGCGGGUUAAAGGUGUCAAGAGUUCUCAGAGAACAUACAAGUCCAUUGAACCGCCGACUGUGCCCACGCUUUCUGACUUGUCGUCCUCCUUUGGGACAAAGCUGGGCCCUCAGAUCAAUGUGAGCAAGAGAGGAACCAUUUACAUGGGCAAGAGGAGAGGGCGCAAGCCCAAAUCCCAAACAGCUCGUCUGAAUUCCCACAGCUACACUCAGGCGUCUUUGUUUGGCCAGCCCACUGAAACAUCUCUCUUCAUGUCCAACCAGCUCCAGCCUCCUGCAGCCCACCCAUUUCCCUCCCCGUCCCUUACACACUCCAGUGGGGCCCAGAGCCCUUACAGUGAAGGAAGUGUUACAGAGCCAACAUCGACUUUGCUUUUUCCUCCCCCGUUCUCCCUCCCGUCCCCGUCGUCCUCCUGCACUUCACCCCGUCCCCCGUCCUGCUCCUCCCUCUCCCCCUUUGUGAAGAAAAGUUGUCCAUGCCAGGGCAGGCACCACUUUCCCUUUCACCAGUCAUCAUGUAAGCUCUCCUCUCCCAAUGGUCCACUCCAUCCCACGCCCGGCUCACCUGGCCACCUGAAAGACGCCACCCCCUCACCUAGGAGUGAAUCGCACAGUGAAGAGACGUUGCCCAGUGAUAGCGGGAUUGGAACCGAUAACAACAGUGUCUGCGAGCGAGUGGAAAUGAGGGGUGCUAGAGGCAUGCUCAGGUUGGGUCAAGGGUCUGGAGGGAUUCUUGGGGGUCCAAAACUCUCCUCUCUUGCGGACCCUCUUCUCACCAGACACAAGAAUCCGAUUGGCAACUCAACUUCCGUAGAGCGGCACCGACAUCGGCACAGGCGGCGGGAUUACAACUGCCCCUCUUCCUGUAGUUGCCUGUGUCCCUGCCCUGGACACAACAAGUGCACUCAUUCAGAUUACUUCCCUUGCAUUGGUCACAACAUACUGAAGAGACAGAAAAACAAACAUAAAAAGAAACACCAGCAACUGCUAAUGCAGGAUCCAGAGUUUCUGUCUGAACUGGAAGAGCUCAUCGGUCAAUUCAGUGAAGUUCACAUCGGUCGGCGAGGCUGGGCCAGGUCGGAGCCGGGCCAGGCUUAUGACGGGGGCAGGCGCCACCACUCCUCGCAUUCUCACCGCUCCAAUAUCUUCAAAAUCAAUCUGAAUGGCUUCUAUUCACCUCACCCUCCGUCUUACGCUGCUAAUUCCUCCUUCUCCCCACAGCCUCUCUACCCCUGCCAGACGUUGCAUUGUAACAGAAAGCCGGAACGAAGGCAGUGUGGCUGUCCAUCAAAGUUCCAGGAGACCAUUGACAACAUGGGCUUCUACAGCAGCUAUCCACCAGCCACAACGCUUUACCACCACCUUCCCGGCUCAUACCCACUUCCCUCUCCUCACCACUAUGCCUCGCAACAGCCCCACCAUACCCACAUUCUUCUAAACCCCGCCAGGUUUCACAGGCGGCGGAGCAGGCUGCUGAGGGAGGGCGCUCUCGGAGGGGAGAUUGAAGGGAAUGGAGGAAGCCUCAACUUAGGGUACACGUCAAGCCUCUCGUGUGACUGUGGUCACAAACAUAAACACAGACAAAGGCUCUGCCAACGCAACGUUGAAGAUGAGGCAACGUUACAUGAGCAUGAGGAGCAGGAGGAUGUGGUGGCGAGAGAGGCUUUCUCCACUUCAAAGUCAAGGUUCAUUUUGGGGCAAGGUGGAGGGCGGAAGGGCACAAGAGGAAUGGGGGGCGUGCUGUCCAGAGAGUCACCCUGGUUACGUGAGAAUGCAAAUAAUUCGUUCUCUGCUGCCACAUCAUCAUCUUUGGCAGAAAGAUCAAAACAUGCAUCUCUCUUCUCUGUGGGGCUGGGCUCCUCUCACUUGUCUUCGUUCGGAGGGGGCUGGGGCGGCCUGGGCCAGAGUUGGACCAAACUUCAGGGUGCGGGGUUCCCAAACAACAGCUGGGGAUCCUCUGCUGGACGCACAGGCCCGAUGAUUCCCUCUGACCCGGAGGAUGACGACAGCGAAGACAUUCACCUACCCCACCCAAGCAGGACGCCUCCGUCGCCGACGCACACCAACCUGUUCACGUCGGUUGGCGUGCCAACAGGGGGUCAUGGCUUGAAGAGCGGGUUGGCCAGUCGGAAUCCUGGAAGUGGAGAGAGGUCAUGGAGGACGGACGAGCCAGCUUGGACAGAGAGGAGAGAAGCAGCUUUACAAGGUGACCCAAGAAGCCGCGGGCAGCUCAAAGGUGUGACAAAGACACACGCCGCUGAUGGGAAAAACAAAAGACGACCCGGUCGACCCAGGAAACGCCCUCUGCCCUCCACUUUGCCUUCCUCUGUGUCGUCACCCGACCUUCUGCGAGGGCGCAGCAAUAAUAACGUAGGCUGGAGAGUGGGGUUGGACCAAGAUGUGGCGGGUGUCGGCUCGGUGCCGCAGGCGACAGAUUCGGAGCUGCAGGCCAAGAGGAAGCGAGGACGGAAGAGAAAACAUGACGCCUCUCCCUGCCAUCAGAGUGUCGCCGAGGACGAGCUGUUGUCCUGCGACACGCCCGGCGAACGUUUCGGCCAAUCGGCCGCCGAGCAGCCCGCAUCCCAACCAGCCGAUGUCCAAAGAGACAGGAGCGAAGACGGUCCUGCCAGGAAGACGUUUUUGAGGGCCGGUCUUUACUCUGAUGAUUACAAAACGAUAGAUCCCCCCUCCCAGUCGCAGCUCUUCUCCAGAGCGAGCGCAGAGUACCAACCAGGUGAGCGGGAAUACAGCCUUUUACCAGCACCCAUCCAUGUUGGGAAGUACUUGAGGAUGAAGAGAAUACAUUUCCAGUUACCCUAUGAUGUCAUGUGGCUUUGGCAGCACAACCAGCUUCAGAGGCAACCUGCCUUCCCGCUGAAGAGGAAACGGCGCUACUGCCGACUGAAGGAGAGGACAUUUCCCUCCCAGCACACUGCGGAGGAGAGCUCGAGUGACUUGGCCAGCCUCUUUCCUCACCUCGACAUGGACCCUUUGAGCAACAGUGAGCGGAGCUUCGUGGUGACACAUCGCGUGUUCCUGGUGCGGAACUGGGAACUGGUGAGGGAGCGACAGAUCCGACUGAGGAUGGAGGGGAGGCGAGAGGGGGACAGCGAGGCGGAGGAGAGGGACUGGCGUGUCGUGUGCGGGGAUGGAGCCAGUGGGGACGAUAGCCACAUCAAGUCAGAUAUACCAGUGGGGGUGGUGGAGGUGACUAUUUCCAGCAGUGACCCCCACCCGGGCGGUCACGACACCCCCCACUCGCUCACCGCGAGCCCCCGCCCCACAGAGAGCCAGAACAGAGAAGAAGAUGAUGAAGAUGAUGAGGAGGAGGAGGGCGAGGAAGGCAAAGUGGGAGAAUGCAGCAGAGAGCAGAGGAGAAAGCGGCUGAACGAUUUACUUUUGACCCUGCAGCAUUCAUAAGCUAACACACGCAUAAAGAUGCAGACGCAGGUGGAGGAACUAUUGGAGAAUGGUUUAUUAUAAUCCAGUUCAGGGUAAGUAUCUCCAAGGCGUGAAGGUGGCCCGUCGGGACAGGGAAUGUGCCGGAAGCGGAGGGGCGUGAGCAGGUGGGAGAGCUUGGCGGCGUGGCUGGAGCGAACAGCCAGGCGGGGGGCACGGAAGGAGCACUGGAGACGAAGAAGAACACAAGGAGGAAGGAGCACUCAAGAGGAAAAGGGACCAGGCUCGCCGCAGGACACAGACAGGUGCUGCUUUUGAAUCGGAAAACAACAACAACAACAACAACACGGCAGAGAGGAGUGAGGAGGAGAAUUUCAAACCACGAGAAAGACAUCACUGCGCGCUCUGACAGCCACUGAACCGAGCGCGCUGAAGGGCAUCACACCAAGGAUGAAACCAUGGCAACACAUCUUUUGUCCGGGAUGAAAGAGAGAAAAAAAAGAGAGCGUGAUCGCGAGAGAGGGAGGAUCAACUUAAACAGACCAGCUGAAAUUAAUUUGCACUAGUGCCCGAGCACAGUAAAGACACUAAACAAGUGUGUGUGCCCCCCCCCCCCCCCAGAAAAAACAACAACACACACUUGGAUUGCUCCUCCUUGGGCACCUUAAAGCAAACUGGGGAAGGAACACAGACCCAUGGUGGUUCUUGGACUUCGGGCGGGGAGUGCUAAUCUUUUGGAAAAGGGAGGAAGCGCUUCAGCUCUAAAAGCACUUGUUUGGCUUUUCUUCACGUGACAAGCCAGUGAAUAGGAAAAUAAAGGGGGGGGGGGUCGGAAUGAUUAGAGGAAUUUUGGCACUGCUGCAAAAGAAUUUCUAAUAAGGUUUUAAGAAAGAUGUUAUUUUUUGCGUGCUAAAGAAAUCUACGGACACUAGGAAUGUUUAUUGUGAACUAUUUUCUUCAAGUAUCGCUUCCUGGGAAGAAGGGAGGGUCAAAUGUGUCUUCGUGUACUUCAGACUGCCUUUGAGAAUGUUUUAUUGACAAUCAGAAUGUCCCAAGGUGUUUUAAACAACAACAACAAAAAGAAAAAGAUGGCAAACAUGAAAUGCUAAGUAGAAGUGCCAUGCUGUCUUGUGUCCAAGCAAUAUCUCUCCUAAUAAGCACUAUAUGAUACAUUAUCACAUCAUGUUAAAUUAGUAAUUUUUGUGUACAGAUUGUUCAUAGGUUGUUCUGACUUUAUGGGUAUUUGCUCAGUAUGUACAAUACAUAACAUUUAGUUUUAUGUACAUAACAAUACUAUAUGACUUACACACAAAAGUUAAUCAUCCAAUACUUUUUUUUUGUUUUUUGUUUUUUUUACAGCUGACCAAUACAUUAGACUAUGAUUGUAUACCUUUUUAUUUGUAAUGUUUUUUUUAACAAGCAUGGUUUUAUUGGUCAGUGAUUUUUAAGUUUUGUGGCUUAAAAAAAAAGCCAAGAAAGUGCAAUUUCUUUGACUGUUUACAUACCCUACAUAUAUACACCCCCCCCCCUCCCCUCUUUCAUCUUUUUUUUUUUAAAGUGCAUCGCUGCAAGUGUAUUAUAAACUUUAUAGCAAAGGUACAUUUAAAAAGAGUUAUCUAGUUUGCAUGACUUGUAACCUUUGCCUGUUGCCUCUAACGAUGUGCAUCUGGGGGAAAAAAAAGAAAAAAAACGUCAUAGAAAGUACGAUCAGAUUUGUAUUUUGUUUUUGCUUAUGUAUCUAAUAAUAAAAAGCAUUUUAUGUCUACCAACUGAAAA